ACUCCUACGGGAGGCAGCAGUGAGGAAUAUUGGUCAAUGGACGCAAGUCUGAACCAGCCAUGUCGCGUGCAGGAAGACUGCCCUAUGGGUUGUAAAACUGCUUUUAUACGGGAAGAAAUAUAGCUACGUGUAGUUAUUUGCCGGUACCGUAUGAAUAAGCAUCGGCUAACUCCGUGCCAGCAGCCGCGGUAAUACGGAGGAUGCGAGCGUUAUCCGGAUUCAUUGGGUUUAAAGGGUGCGUAGGCGGAAGUAUAAGUCAGGGGUGAAAGUUUGUGGCUCAACCAUAAAAUUGCCUUUGAUACUGUAUUUCUUGAGUACAUUUGAGGUAGGCGGAAUGUGUUGUGUAGCGGUGAAAUGCUUAGAUAUAACACAGAACACCGAUUGCGAAGGCAGCUUACUAAACUGUAACUGACGCUGAUGCACGAAAGCGUGGGGAUCGAACAGGAUUAGAUACCCUGGUAGCACAGAG
rnacentral:rRNA from 1 species